AUUGAACGCUGGCGGCAGGCCUAACACAUGCAAGUCGAGCGGCAGCGGGAAAGUAGCUUGCUACUUUUGCCGGCGAGCGGCGGACGGGUGAGUAAUGCCUGGGGAUCUGCCCAGUCGAGGGGGAUAACUACUGGAAACGGUAGCUAAUACCGCAUACGCCCGACGGGGGAAAGCAGGGGACCUUCGGGCCUUGCGCGAUUGGAUGAACCCAGGUGGGGUUAGCUAGUUGGUGAGGUAAUGGCUCACCAAGGCGACGAUCCCUAGCUGGUCUGAGAGGAUGAUCAGCCACACUGGAACUGAGACACGGUCCAGACCCUACGGGAGGCAGCAGUGGGGAAUAUUGCACAAUGGGGGAAACCCCGAUGCAGCCAUGCCGCGUGUGUGAAGAAGGCCUUCGGGUUGUAAAGCACUUUCAGCGAGGAGGAAAGGUUGGUAGCUAAUAACUGCCAGCUGUGACGUUACUCGCAGAAGAAGCACCGGCUAACUCCGUGCCAGCAGCCGCGGUAAAAC
rnacentral:rRNA from 1 species